rnacentral:misc_RNA from 1 species
CAUAGAAUUAAACAUUACAUGGUAUAGAUCUUGAAAAGAAAAUAAAAGAACUAACCUUCAAAAAAUAUCGCAAGAAAGAAAGAAGAACUAAAAGAAUUUUGGCUAUUCCUCUCUUUAAUUUUUUUUCUUUUUAUUUAUUUAUUUAUUUAUUUAAAUAAAAUAAUAUGGUUGAGGUUGACACAUGAUGGGUGACCCAGAAUCAUUUUGUACAUAUCAAAUUAUAAUCUACCAUCUCCCUGCAGUGCAGUGUUUGCAAUUGUAUAAAGACUUUGUUCAUUGUACAAAGGAUAUAUAUACACCAAGUAACAAGAUAUCACUCAUAUACAUUGGAAGGAAGAGAGCAGGCAGCAUAUUUCAUGCAAUUACAAAGUCAAACUAACAGAUGGUAUAAAUAACAAGUUAAUCCAAGUCCCUUAAAAUAAAUUUCAUAACCCUCAAUACCCUUGGUUUUUUGCUGCUUCUUAAGAAGAAAAUUUUUUUUGGCUAAAAGCCAUAUAGCAACUCCAGUUGACUAGACUUCAGGACUGCUAUGAAGAGACACUAUGAAUUAAGUAUAACCAAGUUUCUGGCAACUCUAUUGAAAAACAAACCCGCAAUCAAUCAAGUAAAAAGGCAGAGGAUAAAGCAUUGAUGCAAUGACAGCAUAGAUAACUGUAGGCACUCCUUCCUUUCCUUGAACUUUCUAUCCUGGAUGUCAGAAAAAAUUGCUACUGUUCUAUGGUACAGUGCCAGGAGGGUGUAACAGCUAAACAUGUGGACACAAAAUACUUCAAAAUAUUCAAAGUCAAUCAAUUACUAUACCUUCAGUAGAAUGCUGAUAUGCAACAUAUUUUCGUUAACUGAGAAUCCAAAGAAGCUACAAUUAACCAAAGAAAAAGAGAAUGAUGAAGCACUUCACCUUACACCAACUGAUAUCUCAAAAUCAAGUUAAGAUUACAACAUCUGAACUGAAGAAAGUAUUCUUAAGCAAGUACUUUAGCAGCAAAACAAAAGCAUGAGAAGGGAGAGAAAUUAAACACAAACCUUAAGACAACCAAACACUCCACUAUGUAGUUUCCAACGGUUUUACAUCAUAUUCACUUUGAAAGCCACAUUUUUAUAGUUCCUUUCGGUCAUUCUACAAAUUGCUUUUGUUUCACAAUUGUUUUAUGGUUUUGUUUAAGGUUAUAGUGUUUUAUGAUUACGACUAUGGUAAGAGACAUAGAAAACACUGAACACUGAUACAAUUUAAAUAACUGCAAUGAAAUUUGAAAGCAAUUUUUCUUCCUUCCAAGUAAAAUUCAUGGAAUUUUUCAUCCCUCCUACCCUUUCCUUGUCCAGCCAACUCCUGCAGAACAUGCAAUGCCUGAAAGCAAUAUCUGGCUUAUCACUAUAAUAUAGAGAGGCGGAAAAAAGGAGUUCACUGAUAUUUACAUCAGUAGAACCUCUCUAAUAUUCCUUAGAAUUGCAAACAUCAAAUUUUUAACAAGGUACAAAUUGGCCUAUUGAGCAACAAGAUUCAUCCCCACAUCUUAAACCUCAAUUCCAAAACCCCUUAAUGUGAAAUUGAGAAUUUUCAAAUAAGAAACUGAAGAACCCAUUUUGCCAAUGUUCAUAAUUUAAUAUCAGUAUCACUGAAUUUCACAAACUCUCCAGAGAAUCAAACCCCAUGAAUUGCAAAACACACUGAAGAAGCUGUUAGAGAAAUCGAUACCAUAAAGCAAUCGUCAACAAUAAAAAUCUACAAAGUUCAAGAAAUGAGGGUAAGUAUAUGCAUAGAGAGAGAGAG